UGAGGAAUAUUGCGCAAUGGAGGAAACUCUGACGCAGCAACGCCGCGUGAGUGAAGAAGGCUUUCGGGUUGUAAAGCUCUGUCAGGUGGGAAGAAACCUUUAUAGUUGAAUAGGCUAUACAACUGACGGUACCACCAAAGGAAGCACCGGCUAACUCCGUGCCAGCAGCCGCGGUAAGACGGAGGGUGCAAGCGUUGUUCGGAAUCACUGGGCGUAAAGCGCGUGUAGGCGGCUUGACAAGUCGAAUGUGACAGCCCGGGGCUCAACCUCGGAAGUGCAUUCGAAACGGGCAGGCUGGAGUACGGGAGAGGGAAGUGGAAUUCCUGGUGUAGAGGUGAAAUGCGUAGAUAUCAGGAGGAACACCGGUGGCGAAGGCGGCUUCCUGGACCGAUACUGACGCUGAGACGCGAAAGCGUGGGGAGCAAACA
rnacentral:rRNA from 1 species